AUUGAACGCUGGCGGCAGGCCUAACACAUGCAAGUCGAACGAGUGGCGGACGGGUGAGUAAUGCUUGGGAAUCUACCUGAUGGAGGGGGAUAACUACGGGAAACUGUAGCUAAUACCGCAUACCAUCGGAUGAGCCCAGGUGGGAUUAGGUAGUUGGUGGGGUAAAGGCUCACCAAGGCGACGAUCCCUAGCUGGUCUGAGAGGAUGACCAGCCACACUGGGACUGAGACACGGCCCAGACUCCUACGGGAGGCAGCAGUGGGGAAUAUUGCACAAUGGGGGCAAGCCUGACGCAGCCAUGCCGCGUGAAUGAAGAAGGCCUUCGGGUUGUAAAGUUCUUUCAGUAGGGAGGCGUUAACUACAGAAGAAGCACCGGCUAACUCCGUGCCAGCAGCCGCGGUAAUUC
rnacentral:rRNA from 1 species